rnacentral:rRNA from 1 species
UACGUAGGGGGCAAGCGUUGUCCGGAUUUAUUGGGCGUAAAGAGCGUGUAGGCGGCUUGGUAGGUCUCGCGUCAAAACCUGAGGCUCAACCUCAGUUCGCGUGGGAAACCACCUAGCUAGAGUCCGGAAGAGGAGAACGGAAUUCCCAGUGUAGCGGUGAAAUGCGCAGAUAUGGGGAAGAACACCCGUGGCGAAGGCGGCUCUCUGGGACGGUACUGACGCUGAGACGCGAAAAGCGUGGGGGAGUGAACAGG